UUGUCGGGUAAGUUCCGACCCGCACGAAAGGCGUAAUGAUUUGGGCACUGUCUCAACGAGAGACUCGGUGAAAUUUUAGUACCUGUGAAGAUGCAGGUUACCCGCGACAGGACGGAAAGACCCCAUGGAGCUUUACUGCAGUUUGAUAUUGAAAUUCGGCACAGCUUGUACAGGAUAGGUAGGAGCCUUUGAAACGUGAGCGCUAGCUUACGAAGGAGACGCUGGUGGGAUACUACCCUAGCUGUGUUGGCUUUCUAACCCGCACCACUUAUCGUGGUGGGAGACAGUGUCAGACGGGCAGUUUGACUGGGGCGGUCGCCUCCUAAAAGGUAACGGAGGCGCCCAAAGGUUCCCUCAGAAUGGUUGGAAAUCAUUCAUAGAGUGUAAAGGCAUAAGGGAGCUUGACUGCGAGACCUACAAGUCGAGCAGGGUCGAAAGACGGGCUUAGUGAUCCGGUGGUUCCGCAUGGAAGGGCCAUCGCUCAACGGAUAAAAGCUACCCCGGGGAUAACAGGCUUAUCUCCCCCAAGAGUUCACAUCGACGGGGAGGUUUGGCACCUCGAUGUCG
rnacentral:rRNA from 1 species